GUCUCAGGCCGUAUGAGCCUGAAGGCGCCCGAUCUCGUCUGAUCUCGGAAGCUAAGCAGGGUCGGGCCUGGUUAGUAUCUUGGAUGGGAGACCACCUGGGAAUCCCGGGUGCUCGAGGCU
ensembl:rRNA 5S_rRNA 5S ribosomal RNA